AGUAGUACAUUACUUAAGCUUUAAAAGGUAACCAAUGGAAAAACCAACAUAACACCCCAUAAUUGUAAGACAUGGGUGUUUAAAAGCACAGGUUUAGUGAUAUUGACCAGUGGUCUGUUUAUAUUCUGUGUAUAUUUUUGCAGAUUUAGUUAUUUUUUCUUAUUGAUUGAAAUGAAAUAUCUUUGUCAUAGGUUGUAAAAUUUCAUAAUUUGUUGUUUUUAAAACUUGGUUCAUGGUGUCAUUUGCCAUAGAAAUCAUUAUUUAUGUGAUCAUUAUUUUAUGAUCUACUAAUUUUGUCUAUGUAUUUCUACACUGUAUUUAUGAACAACAUACAUUCAUAAGUUUAUCUAGAAAAACAAAUAAAAUAGAAAAUGUUGGUGAUAUAAUUUUGAUGGUUUAAA
rnacentral:lncRNA from 1 species